rnacentral:sRNA from 1 species
AAACAAGCGAAAGGAGGUGAUCCAGUGUCGAGAGUCAUGCUGGAGAAAGGUGUCGGGAUUAUCGGGAGAGCGCGCCGUUGAGGCAGCCCUCGAGGUAUGCUUCCUGAAGGGCUUAUGGGCCCAGGACACCUCACCUCCAUGAUACUCGGAGAGCCGCCCCGGACAGGGGCGGCUCU